CCGAAAGGCUGGAGCAGCAACGCCGCGUGAAGGAUGAAAUACUUUUGUAUGUAAACUUCUGUAAGAAGGGAAAAAUAUUCCGAUUUAUCGGGAUUGAUUGUACCUUCAGAGUAAGCCCCGGCUAACUACGUGCCAGCAGCCGCGGUAAUACGUAGGGGGCUAGAGUUGUCCGGAUUUACUGGGUGUAAAGGGUGCUCAGGUUGGUUUGUAAGUCAGAGGUGAAAUCCCAAAGCUUAACUUUGGUGCUGCCUUUGAUACCGCAAAUCUGGAGUUUGAGAGAGGGUAAUGGAAUAUCUGGUGUAGCAGUGAAAUGCGUAGAUAUCAGAUAGAACACCAAUGGCGAAGGCAGUUACCUGGCUCAAAACUGACGCUAAAGCACGAAAGUGUGGGGAGCAAACAGGAUUAGAUACCCUGGUAGUCCACACCCUAAACGAUGAAUACUAGAUGUUGGUUUUUUUUAAAAUCAGUAUCCAAGCUAACGCAUUAAGUAUUCCACCUGGGAAGUACAAUCGCAAGGUUGAAACUCAAAGGAAUUGACGG
rnacentral:rRNA from 1 species